rnacentral:rRNA from 1 species
UGACUGUACCCUAAGAAUAAGGUCCGGCUAACUUCGUGCCAGCAGCCGCGGUAAUACGAAGGGACCUAGCGUAGUUCGGAAUUACUGGGCGUAAAGCGCGCGUAGGCCGUUGAGUUAGUUAAUUGUGAAAUCCCAAAGCUUAACUUUGGAACUGCAAUUAAAACUGCUCGACUAGAGUUUGAUAGAGGAAAGCGGAAUACAUAGUGUAGAGGUGAAAUUCGUAGAUAUUAUGUAGAACACCAGUUGCGAAGGCGGCUUUCUGGAUCAACACUGACGCUGAGGCGCGAAAGUAUGGGUAGCAAAGAGGAUUAGAUACCCUCGUAGUCCAUACCAUAAACGAUGAUUGCUAGAUGUUGGAAAUUUAUUUUCAGUAUCGCAGCUAACGCAUUAAGCAAUCCGCCUGGGGGAGUACGACCGCAAGGUUAAAACUCAAAUGAAUUGACGGGGACCCGCACAAGCGGUGGAGCAUGGUGGUUUAAUUCGAAGAUACGCGCAGAACCUUACCAACCCUUGACAUGUUCGGAAUUCUGCAGAGAAUGCGGAAGUGCUCGAAAGAGAACCGGAACACAGGUGCUGCAUGGCUGUCGUCAGC